GGGGAUAUAGCUCAGUUGGUAGAGUGUUUGCCUCAUAAGAAUAAGGCCCUAGGUUCAAUCCCCAGCAUCACAA
rnacentral:tRNA from 1 species